CGCCGCCGCCUCUUCCCUUCCCCCCCGGACGGUAGGGGAGAUGGGAUUUGAACAGGCCUCGUGUUGUUGUGUUGUACAGAAUGUAGUCGAAAGCCCAAUGGAUAACAUCGACUGCAUUCCCUUCAUCAAUCUUCUCCGCUCCCUCAGCAAAAAAUUAUGUAAAUUACACAAAUACAGUCUGUCUUUUUUUUUUAUUUAA